CCAUCCCAUAAUUGUCUGUUCACCCGCUCUUGGGGGGGCCUUCCCAGUCUCUCCUCCAGGCCCCCCGGGGAGGGGGAAAGGAGUUUGGAGGGGAUGUGUGGUCUCUAUGGUUUUAUAUAUAAUAUAUUAAAAAAUCAAAAAUCUGUAUGAAAAAUAUCAGAUUGCACCCCUCUCCCCCCAUUACUGGCUUUUGCCCCCUUUUCUUGUUUAAAAAAACAAAAGGAAACACAUUUUUGUACGGGGCGGGGAGGGGGUCGGGAGGGGGGUUUGGCAAUCCCACUAACCACCAUUAAACUGAGGAGAGAAC
rnacentral:lncRNA from 1 species